rnacentral:rRNA from 1 species
GCGAAGCACUUUUUUAGAACUCUUCGGAGGGAAGAGAGGGUGACUUAGCGGCGGACGGGUGAGUAACGCGUGGGCAACCUGCCUUACACAGGGGGAUAACAAUUAGAAAUGAUUGCUAAUACCGCAUAAGACCCCGGUACCGCAUGGUACAGGGGUAAAAACUGAGGUGGUGUAAGAUGGGCCCGCGUCUGAUUAGGUAGUUGGUGGGGUAGAAGCCUACCAAGCCGACGAUCAGUAGCCGACCUGAGAGGGCGACCGGCCACAUUGGGACUGAGACACGGCCCAAACUCCUACGGGAGGCAGCAGUGGGGAAUAUUGCACAAUGGGGGAAACCCUGAUGCAGCGACGCCGCGUGAGUGAGGAAGUAUUUCGGUAUGUAAAGCUCUAUCAGCAGGGAAGAAAAUGACGGUACCUGACUAAGAAGCCCCGGCUAACUACGUGCCAGCAGCCGCGGUAAUACGUAGGGGGCAAGCGUUAUCCGGAUUUACUGGGUGUAAAGGGAGCGUAGACGGAAUUGCAAGUCUGAUGUGAAAAUCCGGGGCCCAACCCCGGAACUGCAUUGGAAACUGUAUUUCUAGAGUGUCGGAGACGCCCCCCCGACUUCCUGGUGUAGCGGUGAA